rnacentral:rRNA from 1 species
AGAGUUUGAUCCUGGCUCAGAGCGAACGCUGGCAGCAGGCCUAACACAUGCAAGUCGAACGGCUCUUCGGAGCAGUGGCGGACGGGUGAGUAACGCGUGGGAACGUGCCCUUUGGUUCGGAACAACACAGGGAAACUUGUGCUAAUACCGGAUGAGCCCUUCGGGGGAAAGAUUUAUCGCCAUUGGAGCGGCCCGCGUUGGAUUAGGUAGUUGGUGGGGUAAAGGCCCACCAAGCCGACGAUCCAUAGCUGGUCUGAGAGGAUGAUCAGCCACACUGGGACUGAGACACGGCCCAGACUCCUACGGGAGGCAGCAGUGGGGAAUCUUGCGCAAUGGGCGAAAGCCUGACGCAGCCAUGCCGCGUGAAUGAUGAAGGUCUUAGGAUUGUAAAAUUCUUUCACCGGGGAAGAUAAUGACGGUACCCGGAGAAGAAGCCCCGGCUAACUUCGUGCCAGCAGCCGCGGUAAUACGAAGGGGGCUAGCGUUGCUCGGAAUUACUGGGCGUAAAGGGCGCGUAGGCGGACAGUUUAGUCAGAGGUAAAAGCCCAGGGCUCAACCUUGGAACUGCCUUUGAUACUGGCUGUCUUGAGUUCGGGAGAGGUGAGCGGAAUGCCGAGUGUAGAGGUGAAAUUCGUAGAUAUUCGGCGGAACACCAGUGGCGAAGGCGACUCACUGGCCCGAUACUGACGCUGAGGCGCGAAAGCGUGGGGAGCAAACAGGAUUAGAUACCCCGGUAGUCCAA